UUUUGUUGAUAUUUUGCAAAAACAAAAAUAAAAAGGCGAAAACAUCAAAAAAAGAAACUUAUUCGUACUGUUGUCUUGUCUACAUAGUUUAUUUAUAUUUUCCGAAAAUGCAAGAAAAAUAAACUGAAACUGAAUUGCAUGUAGUUCUGUACAUUAGGGUGGCCUCGUUUUUGAUGUUUUCACCAAAAAUAAAAGCUUGGUUCAUUCUAAGUUAUCAAUACUUUUACUCUGGGGUUGCUAUUUGAAAUAUAGAAAAAAAUCCUUUGAUCAAACUCACCAACAAAAUUGGAA